rnacentral:rRNA from 1 species
UUUAACACAUGCAAUUCGAACGAUGAACCACUUCGGUGGGGAUUAGUGGCGAACGGGUGAGUAACACGUGGGCAAUCUGCCCUGCACUCUGGGACAAGCCCUGGAAACGGGGUCUAAUACCGGAUACAACCACUAGGGGCAUCUCUUGGUGGUGGAAAGCUCCGGCGGUGCAGGAUGAGCCCGCGGCCUAUCAGCUAGUUGGUGAGGUAAUGGCUCACCAAGGCGACGACGGGUAGCCGGCCUGAGAGGGCGACCGGCCACACUGGGACUGAGACACGGCCCAGACUCCUACGGGAGGCAGCAGUGGGGAAUAUUGCACAAUGGGCGAAAGCCUGAUGCAGCGACGCCGCGUGAGGGAUGACGGCCUUCGGGUUGUAAACCUCUUUCAGCAGGGAAGAAGCGAAAGUGACGGUACCUGCAGAAGAAGCGCCGGCUAACUACGUGCCAGCAGCCGCGGUAAUACGUAGGGCGCGAGCGUUGUCCGGAAUUAUUUGGGCGUAAAGAGCUCGUAGGCGGCUUGUCA